GGGCCGCUAGCUCAAUGGUAGAGCAACUGCCUCUUAAGCAGUAGGUUACAGGUUCGACCCCUGUGCGGCUCA
rnacentral:tRNA from 1 species